rnacentral:lncRNA from 1 species
AUGCCAUAUCAUAUAUUCGUAUGUUUACUUGUUUAUUGUCUGUUUCCAUUAGAACGCCAGCCCCAUGAUGAUGGCACCUGUAUUGGGUUCACUCCUGAAGUCUCAGUGCCUAGAGCAGGGUCUGCCGUGUGGAGGGGACCAAGACCUAUGUACGUGAUGAAGGCAGCCAUUACUGAAGCAGGGAGCAGUUUCAGUAUUGAGGAUUCAACACAGGAGGAGCAGGAAGAGAGUGGAGUGGUGUGAACAGGCCUCUCAGAUGACCCAAGAGCCUGGAUACAAGGUACAGAGAAUUCUGUGGUCCUGCCCACUCAGGCUCACUGUCUGAGGAUGUUGUCAUCCUGCCCUGGUUAGAUCCAUGAGCGUUAAAGGCAAGUGGGUACCAGCCUGGAGACCUCCAUUCUAGCUUCAUUCUGCUCACCACUUGCCAAACUCAGGUCACUGUUCCUAAGCCUUGGUUUCCUGACUUACUAAGCAAAAUGACAAAGAGGGGCCAGGGGUAAACCCCACCAUCAGGUUUCCAUCCAAGACUAUGGCAAUCCAAAAAGUGAAGCUGCCAUUGUAUUUUCUAUGUUCUUUAUUACUUUACAUAUGCCCUACCAUGUUCCAGAGAGGAAUUAAAGCAUAUUACAAUUAAAGCAUAAAACAAUAAGAUAUUUUAUAGAGAUGAAGAAAAAUUUGAUGAUCAUGAUGAUUCAUUCAGCAAGAUCAAUCCAAAAAUACUUAAUGGAUGCCACUCUUGUUUUUAUAUGUAAAUCUAUUUUAUAUGCAUUCCAUCAACCAGAAAUCACAUUUAUCUGGCACAUCUGUACUUUUUCUUCUAAAUAGUAAUUCAUCUUUAUAAUAAAUGAGGCAUUUGCACUAGUGGAGAGGUUCAGAAUGCAGGAUCUGCCCUGGUUUGAACUUCUCUGUCACUUCUGUCUUGUGUAACAUUGUGAAUCAUGUAACCUCACUCAUCCCUAUACUUCUCAUCUCUAAAAUUGGAAUCAUAAUUUGAUUCUAAAUUAUCUUAUAAUGAUAGAGAGUGCCACCUAGCAUCCAGAUCUUGUUUUCUAAAAACCAUUCUCCGAUAAAAGGAUCCAGGGCUCCUUUGUAAGAGUAGUUGAUGGUAGGAGUGAAGUAGAGAAAACCCAGGAUGAAUCUGGAGCAUUUCGGUCCCAGAAAUUAAGGAAGUACCCACGAACAGACAAUAGCAUGUCAGAAGGGCAUAAGAGUUAACAUGAAAGAGGUUCCAAUAGCUGGAGCUGGAACAGUUUGAGCAGCAAAAUAAAUUAAUAAUAGGAUUGGAUUAUAACUCAUUGAAUGAAAUAACUAUCCAUGAGUCAACACAGAUAUAAAUAAAUAGUUGAAUAAACAAAUGGGGAAGGGACAAAUCUUUGCAGAAGAAUUACAACUAAUAAGUGAGGGAGUGAGGGACAUAUAAAAUCACCUCAAAACACCACAGGCAAGAUGCCCAGAUGGAUGCUGAGAUUAUGUGCAGAAGUUUGGAGGGAAAUAUAUUAUUUAAAUAGUCUCAAAGUAUCUAGGCCAAGACGCUUAUCAAUUACAAAGAGAAAACAAUAACUUUACAGUGGGGAAAUCCAGCCAACAUCACCAUAACCAAAGGAUUGUGGUCAGCAUCACUAGUAAUGACACACCAGCAUCAUGUACCUCCUGAUAUGAUUGACUGAGGACACAUCACUUCUAAAGCAUUCUUGAUAAAAAUGCGUAACCUCAAACUAAUAAGAAAACAUCAAACAAGCCCAAUUUGAGAGACACUCUGCAAAAAUAACUGACUGGUCCUUCCCAAAAUAUCAAGGUCAUGAGAGACUAGAGGAGACUGAGGAGCUGUCACAGACAGGAGGAGACUGGAAGUCAGGCCAACUAAAUGCUAUGUGGAUCUUAGAUUAGAGCCCAGAACAGAAAAAGGAUAUUCAUGCUCCUGGCAGAGAGAACAGCAGGAGAAAAGGCUGGGGG